UAACUACAUAGGUUGCAUUGUGCAUGGCAAAACAUGGUGUGAACAGUGUAAAUUGAUAAUUUUAACAUCUUAGAUGCAUUGCAUGAUAACUGAAGCUGGCUGAAUUAUUA